AUUGAACGCUAGCGGGAUGCUUUACACAUGCAAGUCGAACGAGUGGCGGACGGGUGAGUAAUAUAUCGGAACGUGCCCAGUAGCGGGGGAUAACUACUCGUAAGAGUGGCUAAUACCGCAUACUAUUGUAGCGGCCGAUAUCGGAUUAGCUAGUUGGUGGGGUAAAGGCUCACCAAGGCAACGAUCCGUAGCUGGUUUGAGAGGAGGACGAGCCACACUGAGAAUGAGACACGGCCCAGACUCCAACGGGAGGCAGCAGUGGAGAAUUUUGGACAAUGGGGGAAGACCUGAUACAGCCAUCCCGCGUGUAUGAGAAGGCCUUCGGGUUGUAAAGUACUUUUGGCAGAGAAGCGGUAUCGGCAAAAUAAGCACCGGCUAACUACGUGCCAGCAGCCGCGGUAAUAC
rnacentral:rRNA from 1 species